rnacentral:misc_RNA from 1 species
GGACUACAGGGGUAUCUAAUCCCAUUCGCUCCCCUAGCUUUCGUCCCUCAGUGUCAGUUGUAGCCCAGCAGAGCGCUUUCGCCACCGGUGUUCUUCCUGAUCUCUACGCAUUUCACCGCUACACCAGGAAUUCCCUCUGCCCCUACUACACUCUAGCUCUUCAGUUUCCACUGCUUUGACGAAGUUAAGCCUCGCUCUUUAACAGCAGACUUGACUAGCCACCUACGGACUCUUUACGCCCAAUCAUUCCGGAUAACGCUUGCAUCCUCCGUAUUACCGCGGCUGCUGGCACC